UACGGAGGGUGCAAGCGUUAUCCGGAUUCACUGGGUUAAAGGGUGCGUAGGCGGGUUGGUAAGUCCGUGGUGAAAUCCCCAAGCUUAACUUGGGAACUGCCGUGGAUACUAUCAAUCUUGAAUAUCGUGGAGGUAAGCGGAAUAUGUCAUGUAGCGGUGAAAUGCUUAGAUAUGACAUAGAACACCAAUUGCGUAGGCAGCUUACUACACGAUCAUUGACGCUGAGGCACGAAAGCGUGGGGAGCAAACAGG
rnacentral:rRNA from 1 species